AACAAGGAUUCCCCUAGUAACUGCGAGUGAAGCGGGAAAAGCUCAAAUUUAAAAUCUGGCGGUCUUUUGCCGUCCGAGUUGUAAUCUAGAGAAGUAAUGCCCGUGCUGGACCGUGUAUAAGUCUCCUGGGAUGGGGCGUCAUAGAGGGUGAGAAUCCCGUCUUUGACACGGACUACCAGUGCAUUGUGGUAUGCUCUCAAAGAGUCGAGUUGUUUGGGAAUGCAGCUCAAAAUGGGUGGUAAAUUCCAUCUAAAGCUAAAUAUUGGCGAGAGACCGAUAGCGAACAAGUACCGUGAGGGAAAGAUGAAAAGAACUUUGGAAAGAGAGUUAAACAGUACGUGAAAUUGCUGAAAGGGAAACGCUUGAAGUCAGUCGCGUUGGCCAGGGAUCAGCCUUGCUUUUGCAUGGUGUAUUUUCUGGUUAACGGGUCAGCAUCAAUUUUGACCACUGGAAAAGGGCCUGGGGAAUGUGGCAGCUUAGGCUGUGUUAUAGCCCCUGGUCGCAUACAGUGGUUGGGAUUGAGGAACUCAGCACGCCGCAAGGCCGGGUUU
rnacentral:rRNA from 1 species